AGCGAACGUUAGCGGCGGGCUUAACACAUGCAAGUCGAACGAGAAUGAGGGCUUCGGCUCUCUAGUAAAGUGGCGGACGGGUGCGUAACACGUGGGCAAUCUACCUUCCAGCGGGGGACAACCGUUCGAAAGGAUGGCUAAUACCGCAUACGUCGGCGAGGGCUACGGUCCUUGUCGGGAAUGAUGGCCUCUUCAUGAAAGCUGUCACUGGAAGAUGAACCCGCGGCCCAUCAGCUAGUUGGCGAGGUAAUGGCUCACCAAGGCUAAGACGGGUAGCUGGUCUGAGAGGAUGAUCAGCCACACUGGGACUGCGACACGGCCCAGACUCCUACGGGAGGCAGCAGUGGGGAAUAUUGGGCAAUGGGGAAACCCUGAUGCAGCGACGCCGCGUGGAGGAUGAAGGAUCUAGGUCUGUAAACUCCUUUUGUUGGGAAGACUUAGGACGGUACCCAACGAAUAAGGACCGGCUAACUACGUGCCAGCAGCCGCAGUAAG
rnacentral:rRNA from 1 species